AGCGGCAAACGGCGUAGUAAUGCGUAGGUACGUACCCCUAGAUCGGGAAUAGCCAUGGGAAACCGUGGGUAAUGCCCGAUAAUGUCUGUGGACCAAAGGUGUGAUUCCGUCUAGGGAGCGGCUUACGUGAUAUUAGCUUGUUGGUGGGGUAAUGGCCUACCAAGGCUACGAUGUCUAGGGGGUGUGAGAGCAUGGCCCCCACGACCGGAACUGAGACACUGUCCGGACACCUACGGGUGGCUGCAGUCGAGAAUCUUCCGCAAUGGACGAAAGUCUGACGGAGCGACGCCGCGUGCGGGAUGAAGGCCCUUGGGUUGUAAACCGCUGUCAGAGGGGAUGAAAUCAUGGUUGGCUAUCCUUCCAUGUUGACAGAGCCUCAGAGGAAGCACGGGCUAAGUACGUGCCAGCAGCCGCGGUAACACGUACUGUGCGAACGU
rnacentral:rRNA from 1 species